rnacentral:lncRNA from 1 species
CUUAUCUUCUCAUAGCUUCAAUGAUGAAGACAGAAAUACUUGAAAACAUCAUAAGAUUUAUGUAAGGAUGAUAAUUUAAAAAAGAAGGAAAUGCGGAGACAGACACAUGUACUCACUCAGGCAGAACACCAUGUGAAAAUGAAGGCAACAAGCUGUAACCCAAGGAAAUUCCAAAGAUCGCAGGCAAACCACAAGAAGGUAGAAGAAUAGGAUGGAACAGUGGCUCACAGCUCUCAGAAGUAAUCAACCUGCCAACUUGGAUUUUGGCCUUCUAACAUCCAGAAAUGCAAUGGGGAUACAUCAAUGAAGGAGAUAGAUAAGAUCCAUUUUCUCAUGGAAUAUUCAUUUUCUCAAGGGAGAUAGACCAUAGUAAAA